UCAGUUGUCCGGCUCUGAACGCGUCGAGAUAACGCGGUUAUUGCGGGCGAUUUUUCCACGAACAAAUUCGGUCGUUACGUAACGUUUUCGGGAGUGACGUAUUAAAUAUCGCGCGAUUAUAGUUAUUCGCGUAUACGUGUGCCGGUGGAGUUGUGUCGAGCAUCGAGGGAGCUAACAAUCCGAGAGGACGCAGCCUGAGAGGAUGAGGAGGCCUGGGAGAGGCAUCGGGCGCCAGCGGAACAACUUUGGGGAGAUAACGACGCGCAAAGUGUCGCAUCGAGGGAGCUGACAACCCGAGAGGACAGCCUGAGAGGAGGAGGAGGCCUGGGAGAGGCAUCGGGCGCCAGCGGAACAACUUUGUGAAUCAACGCAGCUACGUGGCAGAUAUAAUUCCGCUGUUGCGCAUCAGGGUUGGUGAGUGAUAAAUUAAAUAUAUCU